rnacentral:rRNA from 1 species
CACGUAGGGGGCGAGCGUUUGUCCGGAUUUAUUGGGCGUAAAGAGCUCGUAGGCGGUUCACUAAGUCGGGUGUGAAACCUCCAGGCUCAACCUGGAGACGCCACCUGAUACUGGUGUGACUAGAGUCCGGUAGGGGAGUGUGGAACUCCUGGUGUAGCGGUGAAAUGCGCAGAUAUCAGGAAGAACACCAGCGGCGAAGGCGGCACUCUGGGCCGGUACUGACGCUGAGGAGCGAAAGCGUGGGUAGCAAACAGG